GAUGAAGAACGCAGCGAAAUGCGAUAAGUAAUGUGAAUUGCAGAAUUCAGUGAAUCAUCGAAUCUUUGAACGCACAUUGCGCCCCUUGGUAUUCCGAGGGGCAUGCCUGUUCGAGCGUCAUUAUAACCCCUCAAACUCAGCUUGGUGUUGGGGCCUGCUGCACUGGCAGCCCUUAAAAUCAGUGGCGGCGCCAUCUGGCUCUAAGCGUAGUAAUUCUUCUCGCUAUGGAGUCCUGGUGGAUGCUUGCCAUCAACCCCCAAUUUUUCUAUGGUUGACCUCGGAUCAGGUAGGGAUACCCGCUGAACUUAAGCAUAUCAAUAAGCGGAGGA
rnacentral:misc_RNA from 1 species